AGUGCAGAGGUGCACAAGAUACGGCUCGCGGGCCGCUUGCGGCCCGCGAGCCGUAUGUUGUGCACCCCUGCACU
rnacentral:pre_miRNA from 1 species